GGUUUUGUUUUUAUUUUGUUCGGCCAAGAGCUCUGGGUGGCGCUUAGAUUUGGAGAAUGGAUUGGAGAACUUUGGGGCUUAUGCGGUCGAUCUUAGAAUCAAUGAGAUGAGUAGUGGUGGUCGUCGUGGUGGUGAGGGGAAAGAUGUGGUUUUGAAGUGGAGAGGAUGUGUAGGGUUUGUCAUAUUGGAUCAGAGAGGGCGAGUUAAUGGAGCUUGGAUGUGUGUGUAGGAACGAUCUAGGGUUUGCUCGUCGGAGAUGCGCGGAGUUGUGGUUUGCUACCAAAGGGAAUAGCGAAUUCUGCAGGUGUUGUGAAAUUUGCGGCAUAAUUGCGUAAAAUGUUUCAGAGGUGCGAGAUACCAGCUUUAUGAUGGAGUGGAGCAACAUGCCUAGAACUCACUUAUAUGUCAACAGACUCGAGUGAUAAUUAUAUGGCCUUGUGUUACACGACAUCCUCCCGCUUGCUGGAAUCGACCAUUAUUACAUACCACUCUGAUUCUGCACUAGCGAGGCUAGUGUCUUCAUCCUAAUUUCUCGCCAUUGAUGCUCAGACUGUCUUCAUGCGAUUCGAACAGAUUCUUCUGUCAGCAUCAGCCUUCCUAAUCUUCUGCCCCACGAUAUUCUUGUAUGUUGUUCUCGCCAACCUUUAUUUUCAUCAUUUUCUCGACGCUUGUCAUCUACAUUGAAUGCGAUGGAUUAGGUUUUUGGAACUGGACCAAAUAGGCGAUGAACAACCAACCUACGCAAUAUAUUAUUUCUUAGGCUGAGAAGCAAUCCUCAGAUAGUUCUUACUAAAUAUUGAACAUACCGGGGUAGUGAAUAACCGAGAUAUAUAUAUAGUACCAACUACGGGUGUUUAGUUGUCAUACCUAUUAUAUUAUUUUUUUCAAUCAAUUACGAGAUGUUGUUAA